AUUGAACGCUGGCGGCAUGCCUUACACAUGCAAGUCGAGCGGCAGCGCGGGGGCAACCCUGGCGGCGAGCGGCGAACGGGUGAGUAAUACAUCGGAACGUGUCCAGUAGCGGGGGAUAACCUGUCGAAAGAUAGGCUAAUACCGCGUACGACCUACGGGUGAAAGCGGGGACCGCAAGGCCUCGCACUAUUGGAGCGGCCGAUGUCGGAUUAGCUAGUUGGCGGGGUAACGGCCCACCAAGGCGACGAUCCGUAGCUGGUCUGAGAGGACGACCAGCCACACUGGAACUGAGACACGGUCCAGACUCCUACGGGAGGCAGCAGUGGGGAAUUUUGGACAAUGGGCGCAAGCCUGAUCCAGCCAUGCCGCGUGAGUGAAGAAGGCC
rnacentral:rRNA from 1 species